GAUGAACGCUGGCGGCGUGCCUAAUACAUGCAAGUCGAGCGAAUGGAUUAAGAGCUUGCUCUUAUGAAGUUAGCGGUGGACGGGUGAGUAACACGUGGGUAACCUGCCCAUAAGACUGGGAUAACUCCGGGAAACCGGGGCUAAUACCGGAUAACAUUUUGAACCGCAUGGUUCGAAAUUGAAAGGAGGCUUCGGCUGUCACUUAUGGAUGGACCCGCGUCGCAUUAGCUAGUUGGUGAGGUAACGGCUCACCAAGGCAACGAUGCGUAGCCGACCUGAGAGGGUGAUCGGCCACACUGGGACUGAGACACGGCCCAGACUCCUACGGGAGGGAGCAGUAGGGAAUCUUCCGCAAUGGACGAAAGUCUGACGGAGCAACGCCGCGUGAGUGAUGAAGGCUUUCGGGUCGUAAAACUCUGUUGUUAGGGAAGAACAAGUGCUAGUUGAAUAAGCUGGCACCUUGACGGUACAUAACCAGAAAGCCACGGCUAACUACGUGCCAGCCGCCGCCGUAA
rnacentral:rRNA from 1 species